rnacentral:rRNA from 1 species
ACGGAGGGCGCAAGCGUUAAUCGGAAUUACUGGGCGUAAAGCGUGCGUAGGCUGUUUGAUAAGUCAGGCGUGAAAGCCCUCGGCUCAACCGGGGAACUGCGCUUGAUACUGCCGGACUCGAGUCCCGGAGAGGGAGACGGAAUUCCAGGUGUAGGGGUGAAAUCCGUAGAUAUCUGGAGGAACACCGAUGGCGAAGGCAGCCUCCUGGACAGGUACUGACGCUGAGGCACGAAAGCGUGGGGAGCAAACAG